ACGGGGGUGGUUAUGAAGUGAAAUACACACAUACACAGACCUACACACUAGGUCCUGCUACUAGGCAACUGGGUAUCAAUCCCCACAUCUGUGUCUCCACAUCCUCUCUGGACCAGAUCUCUUUCACUUUCUUCUUGUGCUGGUUCUGUUCUCUUUUGAAUCCUUUGGAGUCCAGUCAGUGGAGGCAGAAGAUGAGAAUGUGAGAGAGCUUGGGGAUCAUUGACUAAUUCCAACAGCAGAACUUGCCCCAGAUAUUAGCACGGUUUAUGAUGCUUGCUUCAAGUCUUUACUCAUGAGUCUUUUUCUAGGCAUAUUUUAAAUUGAUAAUCCUAUGGACCACCCCCUCACCUCCACCCAUUUUCCUGCUUUAUUUUUCUUCGUGGCUCUUAUCACCAACUAAAUUUGCAUUUGUUUGGAUGAUCUGUCUCCUCCAAUAUAGGGAAUAUGAGCUUGGAACAUGAGUCCCACAAGGACCGAGAUUUCACUGUGUUCACUGCUGUGUUCCCAGCGCUCAAAGGAUAUAGAUGAGCCUGUCCCUAGCAGGGCAGGCCCGGCUUCAUCUGUCAACUUGAUUAUGCAAAGCCUCUCUCUUCAGCUGGCAUCAGAAGUGGAUUUCAAAGCCAUGACUCAUGUGCGCUUCCAGGCUCAGGACCGGGGAACAAGCUCCAGCAAUGAGCUCUCCACACAGGUUUCCCUUCUGGAGAGAAGAUUUCCUCCAAGGCCCUGGGUGGCUAAAGGAUUCGGAAGUUUCUAUGAGUACACACGCGGGCAGACACACAACCAGGCGGUGGAUAGUUAUACCCACCUGAAGCAGCUUUCCUGUUAGCAGUUUUCCAGGGUCCUGUCUCUUGAAUCCAAAGAACACAUCUGCAACAGCUCAGACCACUGGGAUUCAGUGGAUAAAUGUGCAAAGAUGUGGGAUGCAGUUUCCCAUCAAUACAGUGAAGAAAGUUGCAUGUUUGGGACUUCCCCAGUGGUCCAGUGGCUGAGACUGCGUACUGGACUUGUCGACCUUAAA